UCUGAUUAUUAGACACACGUGGAUCUGAAAAGGUGCUCUUCCUCAUUAGCAUCCAGAGAAUUAUAUUACUGUAGAUCUGAAAAGGUGCUCUUCCUCCAUUAGCAUUCAGAGAAUUAUAUUACUGUAGAUUUGAAAAGGUGCUCUUCCUCCAUUAGCAUUCAGAGAAUUAUAUUACUGUAGAUUUGAAAAGGUGCUCUUCCUCCAUUAGCAUCCAGAGAAUUAUAUUACUGUAGAUCUGAAAAGGUGCUCUUCCUCCAUUAGCAUCCAGAGAAUUAUAUUACUGUAGAUUUGAAAAGGUGCUCUUCCUCCAUUAGCAUCCAGAGAAUUAUAUUACUGUAGAUCUGAAAAGGUGCUCUUCCUCCAUUAGCAUCCAUUAGCAUCCAGAGAAUUAUAUUACUGUAGAUCUGAAAAGGUGCUCUUCCUCCAUUAGCAUCCAGAUAAUUAUAUUACUGUAGAUGAAAGUCAAAAAUGAGUUUGACAUCCUGGCAUUUUUAAAGCAUUUACUUUUAAGUUUCAAAAUUGCACAUACUAGAGAACGUCCUAUUUCCACAUAACCAAAAUGGCCACUAUUUAGAAUACGAGUACAAGUAUUAGAACACGGUCAUAGUGUUGACUGCACACGGUAGUUCAGGUAUUGUGACAUAGCCGUAGUGUUUUGACAGUACAUACGGUAGUCUAUUCCCAUAUGCUCUUC